CCUACGGGAGGCAGCAGUGGGGAAUAUUGCACAAUGGGCGCAAGCCUGAUGCAGCCAUGCCGCGUGUGUGAAGAAGGCCUUCGGGUUGUAAAGCACUUUCAGCGGGGAGGAAGGCGUUAAGGUUAAUAACCUUGGCGAUUGACGUUACCCGCAGAAGAAGCACCGGCUAACUCCGUGCCAGCAGCCGCGGUAAUACGGAGGAUGCAAGCGUUAAUCGGAAUUACUGGGCGUAAAGCGCACACAGGCGGUCUGUCAAGUCGGAUGUGAAAUCCCCGGGCUCAACCUGGGAACUGCAUUCGAAACUGGCAGGCUAGAGUCUUGUAGAGGGGGGUAGAAUUCCAGGUGUAGCGGUGAAAUGCGUAGAGAUCUGGAGGAAUACCGGUGGCGAAGGCGGCCCCCUGGACAAAGACUGACGCUCAGGUGCGAAAGCGUGGGGAGCAAACAGGAUUAGAUACCCUUGUAGUC
rnacentral:rRNA from 1 species